AAGACUGGGAUAACUCCGGGAAACCGGGGCUAAUACCGGAUGCUUGAUUGAACCGCAUGGUUCAAUUAUAAAAGGUGGCUUUUAGCUACCACUUACAGAUGGACCCGCGGCGCAUUAGCUAGUUGGUGAGGUAACGGCUCACCAAGGCAACGAUGCGUAGCCGACCUGAGAGGGUGAUCGGCCACACUGGGACUGAGACACGGCCCAGACUCCUACGGGAGGCAGCAGUAGGGAAUCUUCCGCAAUGGACGAAAGUCUGACGGAGCAACGCCGCGUGAGUGAUGAAGGUUUUCGGAUCGUAAAACUCUGUUGUUAGGGAAGAACAAGUACCGUUCGAAUAGGGCGGUACCUUGACGGUACCUAACCAGAAAGCCACGGCUAACUACGUGCCAGCAGCCGCGGUAAUACGUAGGUGGCAAGCGUUGUCCGGAAUUAUUGGGCGUAAAGCGCGCGCAGGCGGUUUCUUAAGUCUGAUGUGAAAGCCCCCGGCU
rnacentral:rRNA from 1 species